rnacentral:rRNA from 1 species
GAUGAACGCUGGCGGCGUGCCUAAUACAUGCAAGUCGAGCGAACAGACGAGGAGCUUGCUCCUCUGACGUUAGCGGCGGACGGGUGAGUAACACGUGGAUAACCUACCUAUAAGACUGGGAUAACUUCGGGAAACCGGAGCUAAUACCGGAUAAUAUAUUGAACCGCAUGGUUCAAUAGUGAAAGACGGUUUUGCUGUCACUUAUAGAUGGAUCCGCGCCGCAUUAGCUAGUUGGUAAGGUAACGGCUUACCAAGGCAACGAUGCGUACCCGACCUGAGAGGGAGAUCGGCCACACUGGAACUGAGACACGGUCCAGACUCCUACGGGAGGAAGCAGUAGGGAAUCUUCCGCAAUGGGCGAAAGCGUGACGGAGCAACGCCGCGUGAGUGAUGAAGGUCUUCGGAUCGUAAAACUCUGUUAUUAGGGAAGAACAAAUGUGUAAGUAACUAUGCACGUCUUGACGGUACCUAAUCAGAAAGCCACGGCUAACUACGUG